rnacentral:rRNA from 1 species
GAAUGCUGACAUAAGUAACGAUAAAGCGGGUGAAAAGCCCGCUCGCCGGAAGACCAAGGGUUCCUGUCCAACGUUAAUCGGGGCAGGGUGAGUCGACCCCUAAGGCGAGGCCGAAAGGCGUAGUCGAUGGGAAACGGGUUAAUAUUCCCGUACUUGGUGUUACUGCGAAGGGGGGACGGAGAAGGCUAUGUUGGCCGGGCGACGGUUGUCCCGGUUUAAGCGUGUAGGUGUGUGUUCCAGGUAAAUCCGGUUCACUUUAACACUGAGGCGUGACGACGAGGCACUACGGUGCUGAAGCAACAAAUGCCCUGCUUCCAGGAAAAGCCUCUAAGCAUCAGGUAACAUCAAAUCGUACCCCAAACCGACACAGGUGGUCAGGUAGAGAAUACCAAGGCGCUUGAGAGAACUCGGGUGAAGGAACUAGGCAAAAUGGUGCCGUAACUUCGGGAGAAGGCACGCUGACACGUAGGUGAAGUGAUUUACUCAUGGAGCUGAAGUCAGUCGAAGAUACCAGCUGGCUGCAACUGUUUAUUAAAAACACAGCACUGUGCAAACACGAAAGUGGACGUAUACGGUGUGACGCCUGCCCGGUGCCGGAAGGUUAAUUGAUGGGGUCAGCGCAAGCGAAGCUCCUGAUCGAAGCCCCGGUAAACGGCGGCCGUAACUAUAACGGUCCUAAGGUAGCGAAAUUCCUUGUCGGGUAAGUUCCGACCUGCACGAAUGGCGUAAUGAUGGCCAGGCUGUCUCCACCCGAGACUCAGUGAAAUUGAACUCGCUGUGAAGAUGCAGUGUACCCGCGGCAAGACGGAAAGACCCCGUGAACCUUUACUAUAGCUUGACACUGAACAUUGAGCCUUGAUGUGUAGGAUAGGUGGGAGGCUUUGAAGUGUGGACGCCAGUCUGCAUGGAGCCGACCUUGAAAUACCACCCUUUAAUGUUUGAUGUUCUAACGUGGACCCGUGAUCCGGGUUGCGGACAGUGUCUGGUGGGUAGUUUGACUGGGGCGGUCUCCUCCUAAAGAGUAACGGAGGAGCACGAAGGUUGGCUAAUCCUGGUCGGACAUCAGGAGGUUAGUGCAAUGGCAUAAGCCAGCUUGACUGCGAGCGUGACGGCGCGAGCAGGUGCGAAAGCAGGUCAUAGUG